rnacentral:lncRNA from 1 species
CACCAUACAGUAAGCAGAAUAAACUUCAAAACAUGUCCCUAGAGGUUAACAAUGUAACUAGCUCUUUACCGGGGUGUGCUGCCUGUGGUCUGUCAAUAGUAGAGAGGCCAGUGGGUAGUGGGGAAAGCGAGUGAGGGUUGUGUCAUGUACGAUGGGCAGGUGAUGGGUAAGUGAGGAGGUGUAUUAUGUCUGAGGUGAAAAAUGUGGGUCGGGAAACUAGGAUAUUUAAAUUAUUCGAUAUAUUAUUUGAUAACAUGGCAACUUUCCCGGCAUUCCUGUGUGUGUGUGUGUGUGUGUGUGUGGAUUGGCUGUGUGUGGGUCAGCAUCUCUUAGUCCUUUUCAGUCCUUUGUGGCGGCAGGAAGUGAGUGGUAUAGCAGCUACGCUACGUACAUUUAAGAGCCUCUGAUUAAAUUGAUACAGGAUUUUAAGUGUUUUUUACGAUUCUAGUGACAUUAACAAGAUUUCUACACUCAAAAGGCUCUGUUUGAAAUGCCACUGGAUUUCACGAGUGUUUUCAAGGUUCAAGUGAAAGAUUAACAGACUGCACUGGUGUUUCGGAUCUCCAAAUCAUCUUAUUACCGGGCCAGACCCAUAAAACAGGAUCACGGAGGAAGGACUACUUCAUCAAGAGGACACAGGCCUUCCCAUGUCUCAGUGUCUGUUUACGUACUUCACACCACUGAGGAGCUGGUGUUGGAGUGGGACCCCGUGGUGCCCCUGGACCUGGACCCCACCACAAGACUCCCCGAGCAGGACAUCAUCGGGAGCUACACCUCAGACUGCACCCAGGUGUACUCUACAGGUUUGACAAGUACUGGUGCAGGAAGUACAUGGGUGACCUGUCCGUGGAGGUGCUGCAUGGUGACGUGGUGCAUGGUGACGUGGUGCAUGGUGACGUGGGCAUCUUGGCAAUCCAAAGUUCCACGACCACCACCAUCGCCACCACUACCACCACCACCGCCUUGCCUGUUGUUAUUCUGUUUCAUUUAUCAUUACCAUCAUUGUUGUUGCUGUUCCUGUUACUCUUUUUGUAUUUGUUACGUUCAGUGUUACGUUGCCACUGGUUAUCGUCACAGCGUCUCCACUACUUCUAUCAGCCGUGUUCGGAAAUGCCUCUCCUUCUCACUACGACAAUUUUGAAGUAAAUGUUAUAGUGGAGUACAUUUGAUAGUCUUUUCUUUAGCCUUCCCGGACAGAGAGAGA